rnacentral:rRNA from 1 species
CAAUUGCGUAUAUUUAAGUUGCUGCAGUUAAAAAGCUCGUAGUUGGAUUUCGGGUGGGAAUGGCCGGUCCGCCGUUUCGGUGUGCACUUGCUACGCCCACCUUGCUGCCGGGGACGUGCUCUUGAGUUCACGCUCGGGACACGGAGUCGGCGAGGUUACUUUGAGUAAAUUAGAGUGUUCAAAGCAGGCCUACGCUCUGAAUACAUUAGCAUGGAAUAACACGAUAGGACUCUGGCCUAUCUUGUUGGUCUGUAGGACCGGAGUAAUGAUUAAGAGGGACAGUCGGGGGCAUUCGUAUUUCAUUGUCAGAGGUGAAAUUCUUGGAUUUAUGAAAGACGAACUUCUGCGAAAGCAUUUGCCAAGGAUGUUUUCAUUGA